UCAAGCAACUAAGCGCAUACGGUGGAUGCCUUGGCAGUCAGAGGCGAUGAAAGACGUGGAAGCCUGCGAUAAGGUUCGGGGAGCUGGCAAACGAGCUGUGAUCCGGACAUUUCUGAAUGGGGAAACCCACCCGAUUUCGGUCGGGUACCUUGCACUGAAUACAUAGGUGUAAGGGGCGAACCGGGGGAACUGAAACAUCUAAGUACCCCGAGGAAAAGAAAUCAACCGAGAUUCCCUAAGUAGCGGCGAGCGAACGGGGAUUAGCCCUUAAGCUAAACAACUGGUAGGAGAAGGCUCUGGAAAGUGCCGCCAUAGUGGGUGAUAGCCCCGUAUCCGAAACCUGAGUUUAGUGAAAUCGAGUAGGACGGGACACGUGGUAUCCUGUCUGAAUAUGGGGGGACCAUCCUCCAAGGCUAAAUACUCCUGACUGACCGAUAGUGAACCAGUACCGUGAGGGAAAGGCGAAAAGAACCCCUGUGAGGGGAGUGAAAUAGAUCCUGAAACCGUAUGCGUACAAGCAGUCGGAGCAGACUUGUUCUGUGACGGCGUACCUUUUGUAUAAUGGGUCAGCGACUUAUGUUCAGUGGCGAGGUUAACCGUUUAGGGGAGCCGUAGGGAAACCGAGUCUGAAUAGGGCGAUUUAGUCGCUGGGCAUAGACCCGAAACCGGGCGAUCUAUCCAUGAGCAGGUUGAAGGUUGAGUAACAUCAACUGGAGGACCGAACCCACUGUCUUUGAAAAGCCAGGGGAUGACUUGUGGAUCGGAGUGAAAGGCUAAUCAAGCCCGGAGAUAGCUGGUUCUCCUCGAAAUCUAUUUAGGUAGAGCGUCGAUCGAAUACUCUUGGGGGUAGAGCACUGACUGGGCUAGGGGUCCUCACCGGAUUACCAAACCUUAUCAAACUCCGAAUACCAAGAAGUACUAAUCGGCAGACACACGGCGGGUGCUAACGUCCGUCGUGGAGAGGGAAACAACCCUGACCACCAAUUAAGGUCCCCAAAUAAUGGCUAAGUGUGAAAGGAUGUGGGAUUGCUUUGACAAUGAGGAGGUUGGCUUAGAAGCAGCCAUCCUUUAAAGAAAGCGUAACAGCUCACUCAUCAAGCGAUCCUGCGCCGAAAAUGUAACGGGGCUAAAGCCAUUUACCGAAAUUGUGGGCUCGAAAGAGCGGUAGCGGAGCGUUCCGUAAGCCUGCGAAGGUGCACUGCGAGGUGUGCUGGAGGUAUCGGAAGUGAGAAUGUUGACAUGAGUAGCGACAAAGCGGGUGAGAGACCCGCUCGCCGAAAAUCCAAGGGUUCCUGCGUAAAGCUAAUCUGCGCAGGGUUAGCCGGCCCCUAAGGCGAGGCCGAAAGGCGUAGCCGAUGGGAACCACGUUAAUAUUCGUGGGCCUGGGAGUGUGUGACGGAUUUCGAAAGUUGUCAUCCCUUAACGGAUUGGGAUGGCGGCCUGGAAGUCCCUGGAAAUAGCCCUCCCGUAUAGACCGUACCCUAAACCGACACAGGUGGAUAGGUAGAGAAUACCAAGGCGCUUGAGAGAACUCGGGUAAAGGAACUAGGCAAAAUGGUGCCGUAACUUCGGGAGAAGGCACGCUGGUGGUAGGUGAGACCCCUUGCGGGUGGAGCUGACGCCAGUCGAAGAUACCAGGCCCCUGCGACUGUUUAUUAAAAACACAGCACUGUGCAAACACGAAAGUGGACGUAUACGGUGUGACGCCUGCCCGGUGCCGGAAGGUUAAUUGAUGGGGUUAGCAUUCGUGCGAAGCUCUUGAUCGAAGCCCCGGUAAACGGCGGCCGUAACAAUAACGGUCCUAAGGUAGCGAAAUUCCUUGUCGGGUAAGUUCCGACCUGCACGAAUGGUGUAACGAUCUGGACACUGUCUCAGCCAUGAGCUCGGUGAAAUUGUAGUAUCGGUGAAGAUGCCGAUUACCCGCAGUGGGACGAAAAGACCCCGUGAACCUUUACUAUAGCUUAGUAUUGGCUUUGGAUAAGUAAUGUGUAGGAUAGGUGGGAGACUUUGAAGUGGCGUCGCCAGGCGUUGUGGAGUCAUUGUUGAAAUACCACCCUUUGCUUAUCUAGAGUCUAACUUCUUGCGAAGGACAGUGCUUGGUGGGUAGUUUGACUGGGGUGGUCGCCUCCAAAAGAGUAACGGAGGCUUCUAAAGGUUCCCUCAGCACGCUUGGUAACCGUGCGUAGAGUGCAAUGGCAUAAGGGAGCUUGACUGAGAGACAUACAGGUCGAUCAGGUACGAAAGUAGAGCAUAGUGAUCCGGUGGUUCCGCAUGGAAGGGCCAUCGCUCAAAGGAUAAAAGGUACUCCGGGGAUA
rnacentral:rRNA from 1 species